rnacentral:rRNA from 1 species
CCUACGGGAGGCAGCAGUAAGGAAUAUUGGUCAAUGGACGAAAGUCUGAACCAGCCAUGCCGCGUGAAGGAUUAAGGCCCUCUGGGUUGUAAACUUCUUUUAUCUGGGACGAAAAAAGGGUAUUCUUACUCACUUGACGGUACCAGAGGAAUAAGCACCGGCUAACUCCGUGCCAGCAGCCGCGGUAAUACGGAGGGUGCAAGCGUUAUCCGGAUUUACUGGGUUUAAAGGGUGCGUAGGUGGGUUUGUAAGUCAGUGGUGAAAUCUCCGAGCUUAACUCGGAAACUGCCAUUGAUACUAUAAGUCUUGAAUUAUCUGGAGGUAAGCGGAAUAUGUCAUGUAGCGGUGAAAUGCUUAGAUAUGACAUAGAACACCAAUUGCGAAGGCAGCUUACUACGGAUAUAUUGACACUGAGGCACGAAAGCGUGGGGAUCAAACAGGAUUAGAUACCCUGGUAGUCCACGCCCUAAACGAUGGAUACUCGACAUUAGCGAUACACUGUUAGUGUCUGAGCGAAAGCAUUAAGUAUGCCCACCUGGGAAGUACGAUCGCAAGAUUGAAACUCAAAGGAAUUGACGG